UCAAAACAGGUGGUGGUCCUGCACCCCCACAUUAUACCCCGGCAGAAGAGCUGGCCCUUGGGCUAAAUGCAAACCGACCCAUUUUGGAGGGCAUCCCUGGGGGCAGCUCUUCCUUAGACCUACAGCCAGGGACCAGUAACAGCAACACCUUAAUUACAGUUUUACAUAAUACACCAACACUUUUACCUGUUCCCAAGGAAGUGGUGGCUGAAAUAUGUGCAGACAGUGAAGAAACCCUCUCAGAUGACUGUCCUUUGGAGGACGUACUUGUAAGUGCAUAAAUAACUUUAUUUUAUUUCUAGUUGUGUGCAUAUUAUGUCUGACUGCAAUAUGAGUUGCAGGAGGAAACGCCUACAGACAGGCCUACAGCAUGAAGUGAUCCAGAGGGUGAUGUCCGUACCCUAUAUAAACGGCAUCUCCAACAGAAAAUGGAGUAUUAUGACCUUAAAAAACAAAAAUUAAGGGGAGAAAUGGAGCUCAACGCCUUAAAGAAGACAAAACUGGCACUAGAGAUUGAAUUGCUUCAAAAGGAAC